rnacentral:rRNA from 1 species
GAAAGGUGUGCUAAUACCGGAUACGUCUAUGUUAAUAUCUUUUUUAUAGAGAAAGGUGGCCUCUGAUUCAAGCUACUGUGCGGGGAGGAGCUUGCGUACCAUUAGCUAGUUGGUAGGGUAACGGCCUACCAAGGCGACGAUGGUUAGCGGGUCUGAGAGGAUGAUCCGCCACACUGGAACUGAAACACGGACCAGACUCCUACGGGAGGCAGCAGUGAGGAAUAUUGCGCAAUGGGGGCAACCCUGACGCAGCGACGCCGCGUGGAUGAUGAAGGCCUUCGGGUUGUAAAAUCCUGUCAGAUGGGAAGAAGUGCUAUAUGGUUAAUAUCUGUAUAGUUCGACGGUACCAUCAAAGGAAGCACCGGCUAACUCCGUGCCAGCAGCCGCGGUAAUACGGAGGGUGCAAGCGUUGUUCGGAAUUACUGGGCGUAAAGCGCGCGUAGGCGGCUAUGUAAGUCAGAUGUGAAAGCCCGCGGCUCAACCGUGGAAGUGCAUUUGAAACUGUAUAGCUUGAGUACUGGAGGGG